rnacentral:rRNA from 1 species
GACGAACGCUGGCGGCGUGCUUAACACAUGCAAGUCGAACGGAAAGGCCCUGCUUUUGUGGGGUGCUCGAGUGGCGAACGGGUGAGUAACACGUGAGUAACCUGCCCUUGACUUUGGGAUAACUUCAGGAAACUGGGGCUAAUACCGGAUAGGAGCUCCUGCUGCAUGGGGGGGGUUGGAAAGUUUCGGCGGUUGGGGUUGGACUCGCGGCUUAUCAGCUUGUUGGUGGGGUAGUGGCUUACCAAGGCUUUGUCGGGUAGCCGGCCUGAGAGGGUGACCGGCCACAUUGGGACUGAGAUACGGCCCGGACUGAUACGGGCGGCAGCAGUGGGGAGUAUAGCACAAUGAAAGGAAGCCAGACGCAGGAACGCCGCGUGCGGGAAGACAGCCUUCGGAUUGUAAGCCACUUUCGCCUGUGGCGAAACGUGAGUGACGGUAAUGGGUAGAGAAGCACCGGGUAACUACGGG